UACGUAGGGUGCAAGCGUUGUUCGGAAUCAUUGGGCGUAAAGCGUACGUAGGUGAACUUGUAAGCAAGGUGUGAAAUCCCACAGCUUAACUGUGGAAUUGCGCUUUGAACUGCAAGUGUAGAGGGUGGCAGAGGCAGGUGGAAUUCCAGGUGUAGAGGUGAAAUUCGUAGAUAUCUGGAGGAACACUCGUGGCGAAGGCGGCCUGCUGGGCCAUUCCUGACACUGAGGUACGAAAGCGUGGGGAGCAAACAGG
rnacentral:rRNA from 1 species